UACAGGUGUUGUCACGUGUCACGUCGACAGCUUCCGGGUCUCAACAAAGGCUCCAACUCACAUCCUGAUUAAUCUCUUGGGGAUUUCUGGUCUCUUCUUCUGGUUUUUCCU